AUGGCCGGAGGAGACAACCUCAAGCUGGUGGGCAUGUGGGCGAGCCCUCACGUCCUGCGAGUGCAGCUCGCGCUCCGCCUCAAGGGCCUAAGCUACGAGUUCGUGGAGAUGGAGGGGGAGCAAGGCCUCGAGAAAAACAAGGGGGAGCAGCUGCUCCUCAACAGUAAGCUGCCGGUGCUGAUCCAUGGCGGCAAGCCUAUCCGUGGGAAGUCGUUGAGCAUGAUACAGUACAUCGAUGAGGCCUUCGUUGGCGCCAGUCCCUCCCUCCUCCCGGACGACCCCUCCGAGCGUGCCAUGGCUCGUUACUGGGCUGACUUUAUCGAUGACACGCUUGUGAAGGCGAUGCACAUGGCGGCAUGGGGCAAAACGGACGGGGAGAAGGCCGAGGGGAAGAACCAGGUCGCCUCCGCGGUGGAGACCCUAGAGGGAGCCCUGGGAGAGUGCUCGAAUCCCUUCUUUGGAGGCAACACUGUCGGAUAUGUGGAUGUCAUACUCGGUGGUCUUCUUGGGUGGGUGCGCGAGACCGACGCGAUGCAAGGUGUCAAGACCUUCGACGACCCAUCCAUGACGCCUCUCCUCGCUAUGUGGGCAGACCGUUUUUCUGCACUGAAAGAAGUCCUGGUGGUCAUGCCAGAUGUGGGAGCGUUGGUCGAUUUUGCCAUGCCUACGACAUGUGCUCGCAGCUCUGGUCCAUUGGGCAUCGCCGUUUCCAUAUAUAUGAUUGGGGUUCUUCUGCAAAUGGUGGCGUCCUAUCUCACUUGGUUGGGUCGAGCCGAGGGCAAAGGAGAUCCCCAGGACGGAAACCCUUGUUCUCGCCUUCACUGGUUGACUCCAGGAGCAUUACCGUAUUGGAGUUGCUAUGUCCUUGAAGGCCUGGACUUCGUGACCAGUUCUAUGCCCACGCUGUUUCUUCUAUAUGUUUUCGUGAAAGGUUUCAAGAGUAGUAUGGCCAGGGUGCUGGUGAUGGGAGUCCCUGUGUUAGUCGUCACAUGGUACUUUCUUACCCUCUACAAGCCGUGUGGCCCUGACACCUUAAACAUUACUACAACAUUGAUGAGCAUGUUGCCGCGCCCAUCCAUAUUUACCGAAUAA
rnacentral:rRNA from 1 species